CGGCGAACGGGUGAGUAACACGUGAGCAACCUGCCCCGAAGACUGGGAUAACACCGGGAAACCGGUGCUAAUACCGGAUACCCCCACCAGGCCGCAUGACCAGGUGAGGAAAUGAAUUUCGCUUCGGGAGGGGCUCGCGGGCUAUCAGCUAGUUGGUGGGGUAACGGCCUACCAAGGCGACGACGGCUAGCUGGUCUGAGAGGACGACCAGCCACACUGGGACUGAGACACGGCCCAG
rnacentral:rRNA from 1 species